GACCUUACCCAUUCAUACACCGAGAUAUAUAUAGGUGAUGAUUGUGGUCGUCCCAAGGUCGUGGCGCAGGUUUGGUAAUAUGUUAGGCUUUCAAACAAUUAUAGGUUCGGUUCAAUAGAACUUAUGACCUAUGGGCUAUUAGCUCAGGUGGUUAGAGCGCACCCCUGAUAAGGGUGAGGUCCCUGGUUCGAGUCCAGGAUGGCCCACCUGAAAAUAGUUAGGAGUUAAGAGGCGGGGAGUUAGGAAUAAAAAAGAAUUCAUAACUCAUAAUUUAUAACUCAUAACUUUUGUUUGGGGGUAUAGCUCAGUUGGUAGAGCGCUGCCUUUGCAAGGCAGAUGUCAGCGGUUCGAGUCCGCUUACCUCCACCAAAUUUUUGGAUGGCGUUGUAUAAGUAAGGAAAGAUUUCAGCACCCAGACUUAGAUAUAUAUAUAAGUUGGAAUGCUGGAUUGCGAUCCAGUCAGAACCUUGAAAACUGCAUAUUCACGCGAAAUGAUUAAUGGUAGUCUUUAAUUAUUUGUUUCUAAGAAAUUAGAAACUGGAUGGUUAAAGAAAGUAUCUAGAUAUCCUAUUUUGUUAGAAAAUGAUUGUAUUGGAAUAUCUUGU
rnacentral:tRNA from 1 species